rnacentral:rRNA from 1 species
CACGUAGGGCGCAAGCGUUGUCCGGAAUUAUUGGGCGUAAAGAGCUCGUAGGCGGUCUGUUGCGUCCGCUGUGAAAACUCGGGGCUUAACCCCGAGCCUGCAGUGGAUACGGGCAGACUAGAGGUAGGUAGGGGAGAAUGGAAUUCCCGGUGUAGCGGUGGAAUGCGCAGAUAUCAGGAGGAACACCGGUGGCGAAGGCGGGUCUCUGGGCCGUUACUGACGCUGAGGAGCGAAAGCGUGGGGAGCGAACAGG